UGGUGGAGUGAUUUGUCUGGUUAAUUCCGUUAACGAACGAGACCUCAGCCUACUAAAUAGUUGGGUGAACAUUUAUGUUCGCAUACAACUUCUUAGAGGGACAUUCGGUUUCGAGCCGAAGGAAGUUUGAGGCAAUAACA
rnacentral:rRNA from 1 species